UCCUCCCCGCUUCCCCUGGGCGAUGGCCGACUACCGUAACUUCUCUGGAGCGAAUCCUUCCAAAGCGCUGCCGACAACAUCGUCCCUGUGGCGCUGCUCCUUCCUUUUCAUGCAUUUUGCUUCAUUGACCUCCUUCCUAUGAAGUUUUAGUAACAAGGUAGUAAAAAAAUUCAGAUAUUAGUACAAGAAAAAUGAGCCACUUGACAAAGUUUUAGUAGAAAUCAGAUUUUCGGACAACAAGAUAUUUUAGUACGUACUAAAAAGAAUAGUACAAGGGCAAUCAUCCGAACAAUAUCAUCAGAAGUAUGAAACUGAACCUUUAGUCGCAGCAGGUGACUACCCUUGUCAUCUCAAGAUUCAAGCCUCUCCUCUUAUCUUGUUCUCCGAGCAUGCACUAAAAACUGCAAAAAAUACAGAACAUGUACAUGUGUGAACUGAAAUAGUGGAACUCAAACAAACCUUCAUCAAUAGAUCUUUUUUGAACUAUAUGGUCGAUUAUGUACAUGGUCCUCAUAAUGAAAACUAAAAUAUUGGGUUAGCCUUUCCCAUAUCUUUUUUGAAGAAAAUCAUAAGCAUCAGCACCUACUAUGUGGAAGACAAAUCUCCCAGCUUGUUUGUGAUUCAGAAUUCAACUGCAUUCAGGCCAAUACGAAUAGCAUCUCAAGGAUCUAGGUAAAUACCUGGAACAAAACUCAAUGAAGAACCAUAACAUCAGUCAAAACUAAACAUGGAAAUUUUGAACUCACCGACUUUAUGUCAGUCCAGUAGAACGCCCGUGCGUUGAUAUGGGCUACAAUGCAUAUAAAUAAAUCAAAAAAAUAAUUAAAUUCUAAAGUGGAAGCUCAUUUCUCCCUCCUACCUUCGAGUGUGAACGUACAUCAAACGGACAUCUAACAGGAUCCCCAAAAUUUAACCGUCCGGAGAAUAAGGUAUCUUCAAAUCCAUGCAUAUCCAUAUGUGAGGAAGAAAUAUGGUUAUCCAGACUAUCUGCCAUGUUAUCUCUAACAAGUGCGGGCCGAACAAAUUAAAAAAAACCACACCCACGACGCACCCUUCUCUUUCCCUGCCGAACCCUCACCUCCCCGCUCGUUUCCCGCCAUAACGGGACAUUUUUCACUGGAGCCCUCUCCAUUGAAACCAGAUAACGCCCAUCUCACCUUCGUCAUGUCGCACUCUCUUCUUCACAUUGUAUUUCCCCAUGGACCGCCGAGGAGUCCCCCGCAAACCGCCCCGCUCUCUGUUCUGUUCCCCUCCCCAUGGGUUUUUGUCGAUAGGGGGGAGUUGUGCGCCACCCAUGACACCCUCCGAGCUAAGAAGGUAGAUCUGAUGUCUCCUUAGCCAUUUUCAGAUUGUAACAUAUAGUUCCCCUCCCCAUGUGUUUGUGUGGAACCAACGUCGGGAGUCAGCCGAGCGCCACCCUGGCGCUGGUUUUGGCAAUGCUCCAUGUGCCCAGAGAUUCCGCGUGAUCCACCGAUGCAGUGAAGGCAGGAGCCUCCGCCAUCAUCGUCGACCGCCUAGGCUUAGCCCGUCAGCAUCCUCCGGCGACGAAGGAGGUAACGGAGAGAGGACACAGUGACCCUAGAGGCCGGGGGGAUUGGAUCCACCCGAGUCACCGGCCACGGUGGCAACAUGGGGCCGACCUACUUUUUUUUGUAGAAGCAUAUAUUGAGAAAAAAAGCCCAAACAAUGAAAAGGAGAAUAACAAUGAUAAUUUUCUGAGAGACCCCACUUCUUGGUGUAAGAUUUUCAUCUAAGAAAAAUAAAUACACAACAAGAAGAUGGAAGCUACCUCAAGUUAUGAAAGCCCCCAUAUUCUUGUUAGUACUAUAUAUAUGUCAUUAGGGCAUCUCGUACUGCCUUCAAGAUUAAAAAAUAGAUCUAUACAAGAAAAGCAGAUCCUUCAAAAUUGCAAUAUCAACUAAUAUUACACCUAUGCAUUACUAAGGUCUAAGGAGUAUUAAAAUAUGAGAUUUACAGGAAACAAAUUGGAAAACUAUUGAGAUAUUUCAAAAGAGAAAACAUAUAUACAAGGGAAUAUAUUGCUUCAAUUCUCACAUUUUCAGGCCUGUCACCUCCAUCGUAAUUAUAUGUGUCUUUAUCCCUCUAGGACUACAGGAGAAAAAUGCAUAUGCACAUGUUAGUGGGUACCAUGUUAACAAAAGAAAGUUCUUUCGAUUAACAAUAGCAGUACCAUGAAUGUUGUUCCACUUGUCUACAGCUCAAUGGUUGCCUGGCACUGAAAAGUCUAUCUCAUUCUUACCUGCUGAAUGGUUUCCUUUAGCUGUCGCUAUUCUUUAUGGAUAUACCGUUGCUGGCCUAACUGUCUCUGGUGAAAUCACGUUAGAGCAUGUGUGACUGGACUAUAUAUUCCCUCCAUCCGAAAAAGCUUGGGACAAGCUUUUUUGGAUGGAGGGAGUAUGUUGGACUGGAAUAUAUGUGUCUCGGCUGGACUGGACCUAUCCGGCCGUUAGAUACUUGUGGUGUGAGGAAUGAAAGGAACAGUGUAUACAGAUGAGUAAAUAUGGUACUAUAUAAAUGCAAAGGUAUCACUACUAUUGUCUGUUGGUCUAGUGAGAAACGACGUAGCUCUUUUGCCACCAAAUUAUCCUGGAACAUGCAAGUACAGUACAAAAAGAUGUUGGAUUUGCCCGCUGAAUAACAAAUUCAGUUAGAAUUUCAUGUCGGCAGCAAUCAAGAUUUCUUAUUGCCAUUACGAAAGGACGAAGCAGAGUAGAGAUAGCAGCAACUGGCCACCAAAUUUUCGGACUACGAUUGUUUGAGAGCACGUGGCAAAAUCUUGAAGUUAUUUCGGAGCUAUCAAAUACUGCAAUCCAUAUGAUCAUAUAUUACAUCACAUAAGAAUAAGAUGCUACUAUAAAUGAUAUACUUACUGAAUUUAAUUUAUCAGGUAAUCGUUCAGUCACUACAACAUUAUUUAGUUCUGCAAACAUCUUGAUUAAUAGAUUACGGGAUACCUUUAGAAGACUUGA
rnacentral:lncRNA from 1 species